CAGUAGCCACGGGAAAACGGAGGGUGCAAGCGUUAUCCGGAUUCACUGGGUUUAAAGGGUGCGUAGGCGGAUCUGUAAGUCAGUGGUGAAAUCUCCAGGCUUAACCUGGAAACUGCCGUUGAUACUAUAGGUCUUGAAUUUUGUGGAGGUUAGCGGAAUAUGUCAUGUAGCGGUGAAAUGCAUAGAUAUGACAUAGAACACCGAUUGCGAAGGCAGCUUACCAAGGCAAAAUUGACGCUGAGGCACGAAAGCGUGGGGAUCGAACAGGAUUAGAUACCCGCGUAGUCCCUGUCUCUUAUAC
rnacentral:rRNA from 1 species